rnacentral:rRNA from 1 species
ACUCCUACGGGAGGCAGCAGUGGGGAAUAUUGCACAAUGGGGGAAACCCUGAUGCAGCCAUGCCGCGUGUGUGAAGAAGGCCUUCGGGUUGUAAAGCACUUUCAGUAGGGAGGAAGGUAGUGUAGUUAACACCUGCAUUAUUUGACGUUACCUACAGAAGAAGCACCGGCUAACUCCGUGCCAGCAGCCGCGGUAAUACGGAGGGUGCGAGCGUUAAUCGGAAUUACUGGGCGUAAAGCGCAUGCAGGCGGCCUGUAAGUCAGAUGUGAAAGCCCGGGGUCUUAACCUCGGAAUUGCAUUUGAAACUGGCAGGCUAGAGUCUUGUAGAGGGGUUAGAAUUUCGAGGUGUAGCGGUGAAAUGCGUAGAGAUCUGAAGGAAUACCGAGUGGCGAACGGCGGCCCCCUGGACAAAGACUGACGCUCAGAUGCGAAAGCGUGGGAGCAAACAGGAUUACGAUACCCCGUGGUAGACUGUCA